rnacentral:pre_miRNA from 4 species
AAGACAGAGAAGCCAGGUCACGUCUCUGCAGUUACACAGCUCACGAGUGCCUGCUGGGGUGGAACCUGGUCUGUCUGUCU